UACGUAGGCAGCAAGCGUUGUUCGGAGUUACUGGGCGUAAAGGGUGUGUAGGCGGUUGUUUAAGUUUGGUGUGAAAUCUCCCGGCUCAACCGGGAGGGUGCGCCGAAUACUGAAUGACUAGAGUGCGGGAGAGGAAAGUGGAAUUCCUGGUGUAGCGGUGAAAUGCGUAGAUAUCAGGAGGAACACCGGUGGUGUAGACGGCUUUCUGGACCGUAACUGACGCUGAGACACGAAAGCGUGGGGAGCGAACGGG
rnacentral:rRNA from 1 species